rnacentral:rRNA from 1 species
GAGUUUGAUCAUGGCUCAGAUUGAACGCUGGCGGCAGGCCUAACACAUGCAAGUCGAACGGUAACAGGAAGCAGCUUGCUGCUUUGCUGACGAGUGGCGGACGGGUGAGUAAUGUCUGGGAAACUGCCUGAUGGAGGGGGAUAACUACUGGAAACGGUAGCUAAUACCGCAUAACGUCGCAAGACCAAAGAGGGGGACCUUCGGGCCUCUUGCCAUCGGAUGUGCCCAGAUGGGAUUAGCUUGUAGGUGGGGUAACGGCUCACCAAGGCGACGAUCCCUAGCUGGUCUGAGAGGAUGACCAGCCACACUGGAACUGAGACACGGUCCAGACUCCUACGGGAGGCAGCAGUGGGGAAUAUUGCACAAUGGGCGCAAGCCUGAUGCAGCCAUGCCGCGUGUAUGAAGAAGGCCUUCGGGUUGUAAAGUACUUUCAGCGGGGAGGAAGGGAGUAAAGUUAAUACCUUUGCUCAUUGACGUUACCCGCAGAAGAAGCACCGGCUAACUCCGUGCCAGCAGCCGCGGUAAUACGGAGGGUGCAAGCGUUAAUCGGAAUUACUGGGCGUAAAGCGCACGCAGGCGGUUUGUUAAGUCAGAUGUGAAAUCCCCGGGCUCAACCUGGGAACUGCAUCUGAUACUGGCAAGCUUGAGUCUCGUAGAGGGGGGUAGAAUUCCAGGUGUAGCGGUGAAAUGCGUAGAGAUCUGGAGGAAUACCGGUGGCGAAGGCGGCCCCCUGGACGAAGACUGACGCUCAGGUGCGAAAGCGUGGGGAGCAAACAGGAUUAGAUACCCUGGUAGUCCACGCCGUAAACGAUGUCGACUUGGAGGUUGUGCCCUUGAGGCGUGGCUUCCGGAGCUAACGCGUUAAGUCGACCGCCUGGGGAGUACGGCCGCAAGGUUAAAACUCAAAUGAAUUGACGGGGGCCCGCACAAGCGGUGGAGCAUGUGGUUUAAUUCGAUGCAACGCGAAGAACCUUACCUGGUCUUGACAUCCACGGAAGUUUUCAGAGAUGAGAAUGUGCCUUCGGGAACCGUGAGACAGGUGCUGCAUGGCUGUCGUCAGCUCGUGUUGUGAAAUGUUGGGUUAAGUCCCGCAACGAGCGCAACCCUUAUCCUUUGUUGCCAGCGGUCCGGCCGGGAACUCAAAGGAGACUGCCAGUGAUAAACUGGAGGAAGGUGGGGAUGACGUCAAGUCAUCAUGGCCCUUACGACCAGGGCUACACACGUGCUACAAUGGCGCAUACAAAGAGAAGCGACCUCGCGAGAGCAAGCGGACCUCAUAAAGUGCGUCGUAGUCCGGAUUGGAGUCUGCAACUCGACUCCAUGAAGUCGGAAUCGCUAGUAAUCGUGGAUCAGAAUGCCACGGUGAAUACGUUCCCGGGCCUUGUACACACCGCCCGUCACACCAUGGGAGUGGGUUGCAAAAGAAGUAGGUAGCUUAACCUUCGGGAGGGCGCUUACCACUUUGUGAUUCAUGACUGGGGUGAAGUCGUAACAAGGUAACCGUAGGGGAACCUGCGGUU